rnacentral:rRNA from 1 species
UACGGGGGGGGCAAGCGUUGUUCGGAAUUACUGGGCGUAAAGGGCGCGUAGGCGGCCAACUAAGUCGGAUGUGAAAUCCCCAGGCUCAACUUGGGAACUGCAUCCGAUACUGGUCGGCUUGAAUCCGGGAGAGGGAUGCAGAAUUCCAGGUGUAGCGGUGAAAUGCGUAGAUAUCUGGAGGAACACCAAUAGCGAAGGCAGCUCGCUGGGACGGUAUUGACGCUGAGGCGCGAAAGCGUGGGGAGCAAACAGG